rnacentral:lncRNA from 1 species
CCGAGGAAGCAAAGGAGCUUGAAGAAGAAGAGGCUCUGGUAGCUCCUGACUAUGGUGCAGUGGCAGAAUAUGCUGCGCCCACAGCAGAUACCUGGGGUGGUGAAUGGCCAGGAGCUGCCGCUCCACCUGCUGCCGUUGUGGCCGAAGCUGGUGCUGACUGGACUGGUGCUGCAGGUUCGAUUUCUUUCAUUUCGUGCUAUUAGAUUACCAACGAACGGAAAAUCAACCUUCAGUCAUAUGCAUGAAGUUUAUCUUUGAUGUUUUUUUUUCUCAAGUGUCAAUGUUGUAUACUACCUUGUGGCUGGCCUAGGAAGGCUUGAGGCUGGGUUUAAGCUUGCGUUUGCAGCGAGUUAAGCUCCUAUCAUGUUUUUUGGUGCUAGCAUAAGGUUCGGCCCACAUUUUAAGUCAGGCUGCCUGCUGGCAUUAAUUUAGAACCUUGAUCUCAAUAUUUGGUCUAUGCCUAUAGUCCGAUAUAUGAAGCCAACUGUUAUGUUAUACCUUUACCCGGGAAAUGAUAACUCCUAUUCGAUAUUUCUAUUUCCCAUCCUGCAUCUGGUGAUUUAGAUGUAGAUGUCUGCUUGCAUGUUGUUUGAUAGCAACCUGAACAAAUUGGUAUUCUGAAUUGCAGCUCCUGCGGCUGAUGCUGGAUGGGAUGCAGUUGCUGCCCCCCCACCUGCCGCCCCUGGUUGGGAACAAGGCAGUGCGCCUGCACCUGCUACGGCUACCCCGAACUGGGAGUAGAAGAGUAAAGCACAUGGAUCAUGGGUGGAUGACUGAGUUAUUUGCCAGAAGAGUA